CAGUCGCCGCGGGAAUACAGAGGGUGCAAGCGUUAAUCGGAAUUACUGGGCGUAAAGCGCGCGUAGGUGGUUUGUUAAGUUGGAUGUGAAAGCCCCGGGCUCAACCUGGGAACUGCAUCCAAAACUGGCAAGCUAGAGUACGGUAGAGGGUGGUGGAAUUUCCUGUGUAGCGGUGAAAUGCGUAGAUAUAGGAAGGAACACCAGUGGCGAAGGCGACCACCUGGACUGAUACUGGCACUGAGGUGCGAAAGCGUGGGGAGCAAACAGGAUUAGAUACCCCUGUAGUCCCUGUCUCUUAUAC
rnacentral:rRNA from 1 species